UGAUACAGAGGACUGUCAUAUGAACCAGAGAGGGUACCUGAAACCAAAGAAAAGACUCUAGUGUGUAGCCAAAGGCAUGCCUCCAGGGGUGAGAAGGAGCAGAUGUCUUAACAGGGCAGGAGACCAGCUGUGCGUGGUCAGCCUCUGAUUUGGGCCCAAAAGGAAAAGAAAAUCAGAGGAGACAGUGACUCUCAAACUCUUCCUUAUUAAUGAGCAAGAGUUCCCUGGAUCCAACAGGGAACCUGGCAGUUAAGUGUUCCUGGGGAUCAAAUCUGAUGCUGGAGAUAACUGCUUUACCUAUCAGUGAGGAAGAGAUCCUGCUGACCCCAGCACCUGGACCAACUUCAGUGAAGAGACAGAGGCUAAGAGGUGAUGGAGCCCUGCUUCCUCACACACAGACAGGUGGACCUAGAGACUGCCACACAGAGUAAGUCAGUUAGAAAGAAAGAAACAGAUAUCGUAUAUUAA